rnacentral:lncRNA from 1 species
AGGUUUAGGCUUCGUGUUCCCUCCGGUGUGUACUGGGGUGACUGCUAGGAUGGUAUCUGAAUGUUAGCUUUGUUGUAGUCGUGUGCUGCUUCGUGGUUAUGCUUGGAUCAGGGGUCCGUCUACUUGGAUUGGAUCAUCUCCGGCCAAAACGCAUUAUGCGUUUUGGUUAAAUUCGACGCAAAACGACAUUUUGAAGAUGACUGGACGAUUUUUUAGCGUCAGCGACCAAGAAGGUGCUGGGAGGGCGUUGUGAGGGCGCGGGGCUGACAUCAUCUAAGCUGAUUAGGCUUAGUGAAGUUUUGGGAUUUUUUUUCUUUUCCUGGUUGUUUAUCUUGUUAUUUUGGCCUGGGCGGGGCUGACAUCAUCUAAACUGAUUAGGCUUAGUGAAGUUUUGGGAUUUUUUCCAAUAAUCCUAGACCUACGGGGUCAUUACGGACCAUUCCUAAAUAAUCUCAACCUCUGACAUGUAAACAAAAUCAGUCCGUAAUUGCCUAUGUGUAGCAUUACUGUUGUUUUUUCUUUUUCUGGUUGUUUAUCUUGUUACUAGUGAACAUGCACGUGCAACGCACGUAAUAUCAAAAAGUCAUGGUUCAUUCUCUCCUAACUUCUCCCGCUAAGGGGAAAAUUA